GCGAGUGUGAUCAAAUAAAGAGGUUCGUCGUAAUACUUGGAAAAUCUUAUCUGAUUCAGGAUCAAUUCAUCGGUUACACUCCCCUAUCACCAGUGAUUCUUUGUUUUUAGCUGACAUUCUUAAAAAAGGUGUGUAAGUGUUGACUCGCAAUUUGCAUGAUUAAUAACAGAUAUCGACUCGUUACCCGGACUACUGCAAAAAACAAUUAUUCAGUUUACUGAUUUAGAUGGAAGGUAAACGGACAGAAAGUCGCAGGACAAAAAGUCACA
rnacentral:lncRNA from 1 species